UACGGGGGGGGGCAAGCGUUGUUCGGAAUUACUGGGCGUAAAGGGCGCGUAGGCGGCCUACUAAGUCGGACGUGAAAUCCCUCGGCUCAACCGAGGAACUGCGUCCGAUACUGGCAGGCUGGAAUCCGGGAGAGGGAUGUGGAAUUCCAGGUGUAGCGGUGAAAAUGCGUAGAUAUCUGGAGGAACACCGGUGGCGAAGGCGGCAUCCUGGACCGUAUUGACGCUGAGGCGCGAAAAGCUAGGGGGAGCAAACGGGG
rnacentral:rRNA from 1 species